AGGUUUUUUUUUUCCUCCACCCUGCCUCUUUCCUUCUCUUCCACCGUUGCAGUAGCCUCUUCCAUCAGAUCAACAAAAAGGAAAAAAUCGUCCACUCCAGAAAAAAACCUAGUCGUCACUCUGUCUCUCUCGCUCCCAAUCGUCUAUCUCGCAGCCCCAACAGUAUCAGCAUAGAAGAGUUCCAGGUUACCCUUCUCUCCUCAAACACUCGCUCACACAGACCCUCACAAUAUCUCUCUUUUGCUUUUGCUCUCGCUGUCGCGUUACCCUCACAGGCUUUCUGUAGCAGCAGCGGCGGCGACUUCGCACAUGUUCUCCCUCCGACAUCCAGAUGAGAAAUUUGAUAGUGAUAAGGAUGCAGCCACCAAUAUUUCUCGAGAUGUUUCAAGGAGGGAUAUGGCAACCCAGAUGAGCCCAGAGGGUAGCCCCUACUCAUCUUCCAGUAGGCUGUCUUUCUCGCCAUCAACUCCAUCUGUCCUUCCCAUUGUGGAGUUGGAAAGUCCCAAGACCUCUAAAUUAAAAGUUAGAGAUAUACAGGUUGAUGAACGGGUCACUGUGACUAGGUGGUCCAAGAAACACAGAGCUUGAUUUCCUGGGAGAGGCUCAGAAAAUGUCGAUGACUGGAAGAAGAAAGCUGUCGAGGUUCGAUCUUCUGCUUGAGAAGUUUCAGAGGCAGCGAAAAGCAUUUCUAAAAUGAAGAGGGAGGAAGCCAAAAUAACUGCAUGAAAGAACCUUGAGAUGGAAAAAGCUGAGGCAGCAAUAAGGAAACUUGAGGUUCUUUGAAAUCUUUUCCACAUUGCAUAUUUGAAUUUGUCAAGAAGCAUUUAGAUCAUUCAUCCAUCCUGUGUGCGUGAGGUUACCAUAAACUUUUAGAUAUCUUUCAGGCAUGGAUCAAUUAUGUAAGAGCAUUUCAAUGAAAUUCUACCAUGUUUUAUCUUCAUUAUAUGUCAUUGAAGUGCUAUGACAUUUAACGAUGCUUUCUUAAGAUCUGCAUUUUUAAACCCUAGUACUAGUCUACAACAAAAUUUCCAUGAGGUUUUGGUAAUUAGGAUUAUUGAAGAAACUGAGAUCAUCAUCCAUGGAUAAGAUUAUGAAGAAACUGAGAUCAGCUCAAAAGAAAGCCCAAGAAAUGUGGAGGUCGGUGUUAACAAAUCAAUCCCAUCAAGUUGUCAAGACAUCCAAUAAGCUCAUAUCUUUCCGCCGCACUCGCCAGAUCAGUUCGUUGAGUGGCUGCCUCACCUGCCAUGCUUUUUAGUGCCUCAUCCAGCUGUCUGUUGCUCCAUUUGUAUUGAACUUAACAAGUUUUGUUGCUGCAUCAAACACCAGUGUCUCUGCAUAUGUUGGAUGAUAUGCCAGCUCAGCAUUCUUGGGGGUUCAAUUUGUCUCUAAUGAUGACUAAUAAUGCCAGUAUGCGUGUAAGUUUGUAGAUCAAUCUUUAGUUUUAUUGAACCGUUUUAAAAAAACAGUACAGCUGUUUUUUUGGUUGGCCCUGUUUUUCCCAGAGCUUUUGAAGCUAUACAUCUCUAGCAUCUUAGUUAAAUAUUACUACAAUUAAAUUCCUGCAAUUUCUUUGUAAAUUCCCUAGUUGUAUUUGAAUGUUGUUAUUCCAAUGUCCAACGACAAUUUAUGAACACGGUCCGGGAAUUUGGAGAUGGGGAUCGAAGUGGCAGUGAUGGAUGGUGAGGGAGUGACAGUCAUCGGCAGUUGCUGCAGGAGAGGGGAAAAGGAGUCGCAGAGGAAAACGGCAGGGAGUAGGUAAAGAGUGGUAAAAUUUCAGUGAGGUCCAGAAUUUUGUGAGGUGGCAGAAUUUGAUUGGCUGUGGGACAGCUGUGUAGAAUUUAAUCUCUUGUUAGGAACCUUCUCCAAUAAAAUAGCACUUAUAACUAGACAUAUUAACAAAAGAGACAUGUUAUUGAUGGAAAUUCCAAUAUGAAAUUUAUAUACAUGUUAUUUAAACAGAGGAAUAGAAUAAUUUGUAUAUUUACUUAACUUGGUUGAUGAGUUAUGUUUUGGAGAUUAGAAGGCAGCGUUCCCUACUGGGCAACAUUAACAUAAUCUUGAGGGGAAUGAGCUGAUAAUCCUGGACACACCAAAAUGCUCAAACAGCGUCGGAUGUCAAUGAAACUUGACACACAUGACUAACUAGACACAAAUGACUUGUAGGAGAAGACGGAACUCGAAACAAAUUCCUUGUUUUGAAUCUAAAGCCUAGUUUCCAUUUAUGAAAAUUUAUUCUUUAGAAACUCUUUUUCGAAACGAUUGACACAUUAAAAUGCUUAAACGACAUUGGAUGUCAACGAAACUUAACUAGGCACAAAUGACUUGUAGAAAAAGACGGGACUUGAAACCGCUUUCUGGUUUUGAAUUUGGAGCCAAAUUUCCGUUUGUGAAAACUUGUCCUUUACAAACUCUUUUUCGAACGGGUUGACACACUAAAUGCUCAAAUGGCACGAGUAACUAGGCACAAAUGACUUGUAGGAGAAGACAGAACUCGAAACUACUUCUCGGUUUUGAAUUUAGAGCCAAAUUUCUGCUUGUGAAAACUUGUUCUUUUGAAACUAUUUUUCAAACCGGUUGACACACCAAAAUGCUCAAACGGCGUCGGAUGUCAACGAAACUUGACACACACAACUAAUUAGGCACAGAUGACUUGUAAGAGAAGACGGAACUUGAAACCGAUUCCCGAUUUUGAAUCCAGAGCCUAGUUUCUGUUAAUGAAAGCUUGUUCUUUAGAAACUCUCUUUCGAACUAAAAUGUUCAAACGGCAUCGGAUGUCAAAGAAACUUGACACACACAACUAACUAGGCACAAAUGACUUGUAGAAAAAGACGAGACUCGAAACUGCUUUCCAGUUUUGAAUCUGGAGCCUAAAUUCCGUUUGUGAAAAAUUGUCCUUUACAAACUCUUUUGAGUACGUGAUGACAUCUUUACAUGUCGAUAUUGAACUUACAAUCUUAUUUAUUUAUUGAAAUAAAUAUCAAAUGUUUUACAUUUUCUGUAAGUUUGAAAUUAAUUAUAUUAUAAAUGAUUUUUUUUUGUUGGUUUUUUU